GCCAACUUCACUUCCAAAAAGCAAAAAAUACAAGUGAACAAAUGUCAGUGCCCUUCAACUUGUUUUACAGAAAAAAUUUACUUUAGUUAAUAAUCUAUAACAAAAGGCACACUGAUUUAUCCUACAAAAAAUAAUGCUAUCCAACAAAAUAAGCUAAGCGCCCUGCAAGUUAGCAGCAGCUCCUUCCCACCAUUUUCAGUAAAAACUACAUUUACCUUAAAACCUAGUGGCAUUUUUUUUGCUUGUAGGAGAACUAAGGCAUUCUUUCUCUACUCCGACCCAAUAUAAUAACAAAUUCAAAAGACUGAAGCAGUAAACGAGAAGAAGAAGAUAAGAACGCGAGGUCAUCAGUAUGCUGAUAAAGACAAAGUUGGUUUGUUUGGAGUUUUUCAUCCACUUCUGGACCAUGCAUGUUACAGGUUGGCGAGGCACCUGGAAGUGAAAUGGUAGAACCUCAAGCUGCUUCUGAAGAAAACGUUUCUUAAAAAAGCAACCUGAAAAAAUGCUAUCCAAGAAACUACAUUCCUCCUGUUAACACUUAUGCAUAAUACAUAUACAAGCUGUUUGCAGCGGCACAGGCAAUUGAAUUUUCGGUUGGAUGCCACGCUAGAUGGAGCAACUUCGUUGUGAAAUCAAAUGAAUUUCCAUUUGCAUCAACACCUGGACUUUCUGAACCUCUCCUGACAACACGUGUUAUGCUACUGCUCAGGGACCUGGAAGGUCUUGAAGGAGUCUGUACUUGUCUUCUCAUGGGGUUUUUGCUAGCUUCCAGUGUAGUUGCUUCAGUAGUGCCCGCAGCACAACCAAAGACACGGAAAAGAUUACUAUAAGAACCAGUAGCUACUCGCAGCCCAUCACCACUAAGGCAACACUCGAACUUGUCAAAGAUGGAGUCAUUCUCAUAUAAAUCACAUAGCUUUGGUCUUAAAUAUUCAUGAACCUGGAAGGUUGACACUGGACCAGAAUCCAUAUUUAUGUCCCAUAGCUUUAGGGUCAUAUAGUCACGGCUGAGUAUGUAUCUUCCAUCCUUAGAAAAUUUAAUAUCAGAAAUUGAAGCAAUUAUCUCUGUGAAAAAAGAUCUUGAACCAGGUGCUUCUUGCUCCUCAAACAACUGAGAAUGUGAGUCGCACAAAGCUGACUGCCGCAGAUCUACGAGACGAAUCGACCCUUUUGAACUACUAUAAGCUAACGUAUUACAAUGAGUAGGAUGAAAUUCUGCUGAAGUUAUCACCUCAGUCAAAUCUUCCAUAUUUGUUGGCUUGAC
rnacentral:misc_RNA from 1 species